UACGAAGGGGGGCUAGCGUUGCUCGGAAUCACUGGGCGUAAAGCGCACGUAGGCGGCUUCUUAAGUCAGGGGUGAAAUCCUGGAGCUCAACUCCAGAACUGCCUUUGAUACUGGGAAGCUUCGAGUCCGGAAGAGGUGAGUGGAACUGCGAGUGUAGAGGUGAAAUUCGUAGAUAUUCGCAAGAACACCAGUGGCGAAGGCGGCUCACUGGUCCGGUACUGACGCUGAGGUGCGAAAAGCGUGGGGAGCAAACAGG
rnacentral:rRNA from 1 species